GAUGAACGCUGGCGGCGUGCCUAAUACAUGCAAGUCGAGCGAACAGACGAGGAGUUUGCUCCUCUGACGUUAGCGGCGGACGGGUGAGUAACACGUGGAUAACCUACCUAUAAGACUGGGAUAACUUCGGGAAACCGGCGCUAAUACCGGAUAAUAUAUUGAACCGCAUGGUUCAAUAGUGAAAGACGGUUUUGCUGUCACUUAUAGAUGGAUCCGCGCCGCAUUAGCUAGUUGGUAAGGUAACGGCCUACCAAGGCAACGAUGCGUGGCCGACCGGAGAGGGUGAUCGGCUACACUGGAACUGGGACACGGACCAGACGCCUACGGGACGCAGCAGUAGGGAAUCUUCCGCAAUGGGCGAAAGCCUGACGGAGCAACGCCGCGUGAGUGAUGAAGGUCUUCGGAUCGUAAAACUCUGUUAUUAGGGAAGAACAAAUGUGUAAGUAACUAUGCACGUCUUGACGGUACCUGAUCAGAAAGCCACGGCUAACUACGUG
rnacentral:rRNA from 1 species